rnacentral:rRNA from 1 species
CAGUAGCCACGGGAAUACGGAGGGGGCUAGCGUUGUUCGGAAUUACUGGGCGUAAAGCGCACGUAGGCGGCUUGGUAAGUUAGAGGUGAAAGCCCGGAGCUCAACUCCGGAAUUGCCUUUAAGACUGCCGAGCUAGUAGGUGAGAGAGGUAAGUGGAAUUCCGAGUGUAGAGGUGAAAUUCGUAGAUACUCGGAAGAACACCAGUGGCGAAGGCGGCUUACUGGCUCAUUCUAGACGCUGAGGUGCGAAAGCGUGGGGAGCAAACAGAAUUAGAUACCCCUGUAGUCCCUGUCUCUUAUAC